rnacentral:rRNA from 1 species
UACGAAGGGGGCUAGCGUUGCUCGGAAUUACUGGGCGUAAAGGGCGCGUAGGCGGAUAGUUUAGUUGGGGGUGAAAGCCCGGGGCUCAACCUCGGAACUGCCUUCAAUACUGGCUAUCUUGAGUGCGGGAGAGGUGUGUGGAACUCCGAGUGUAGAGGUGAAAUUCGUAGAUAUUCGGAAGAACACCAGUGGCGAAGGCGACACACUGGCCCGUUACUGACGCUGAGGCGCGAAAAGCGUGGGGGAGCAAACAGG